rfam:Triticum aestivum genome assembly, contig: Triticum_aestivum_CS42_TGACv1_scaffold_129932_2BL
UUAAUACUCCCUCCGUCCGAAAAUACUUUUCUAAGAAUGGAUAAAAUGGAUGUAUCUAUAACUAAGUAAGUCUAGAUACAACCAUUUUUAGGACAAGUAUUUCCGGACGGAGGGAGUACAUG